rnacentral:rRNA from 1 species
GACAGAGGAUGCAAGCGUUAUCCGGAAUGAUUGGGCGUAAAGCGUCUGUAGGUGGCUUUUUAAGUCCGCCGUCAAAUCCCAGGGCUCAACCCUGGACAGGCGGUGGAAACUACCAAGCUGGAGUACGGUAGGGGCAGAGGGAAUUUCCGGUGGAGCGGUGAAAUGCGUAGAUAUCAGGAGGAACACCGAUGGCGAAGGCAGGUCUCUGGGCUGACACUGACGCUCAUGCACGAAAGCGUGGGGAGCAAACAGG